rnacentral:rRNA from 1 species
GAUGAACGCUGGCGGCGUGCCUAAUACAUGCAAGUCGAGCGAACAGACGAGGAGCUUGCUCCUCUGACGUUAGCGGCGGACGGGUGAGUAACACGUGGAUAACCUACCUAUAAUACUGGGAUAACUUCGGGAAACCGGAGCUAAUACCGGAUAAUAUAUUGAACCGCAUGGUUCAAUAGUGAAAGACGGUUUUGCUGUCACUUAUAGAUGGAUCCGCGCCGCAUUAGCUAGUUGGUAAGGUAACGGCUUACCAAGGCGACGAUGCGUAGCCGACCUGAGAGGGUGAUCGGCCACACUGGAACUGAGACACGGUCCAGACUCCUAAGGGAGGCAGCAGUAGGGAAUCUUCCGCAAUGGGCGAAAGCCUGACGGAGCAACGCCGCGUGAGUGAUGAAGGUCUUCGGAUCGUAAAACUCUGUUAUUAGGGAAAAACAAAUGUGUAAGUAACUAUGCACGUCUUGACGGUACCUAAUCAGAAAGCCACGGCUAACUACGUG